rnacentral:rRNA from 1 species
GACGAACGCUGGCGGCGUGCUUAACACAUGCAAGUCGAACGGUGAAGCGCCUUCCUUUUUGGUGGGUGUGGAUGAGUGGCGAACGGGUGAGUAACACGUGAGUAACCUGCCCCCUUCUACUGGAUAACCGCAUGAAAGUGUGGCUAAUACGGGAUAUUCUGAGUCUGUCGCAUGAUGGGUCUGGGAAAGAUAUUGUUUCGGUGGGGGAUGGGCUCGCGGCCUAUCAGCUUGUUGGUGGGGUGAUGGCCUACCAAGGCGGUGACGGGUAGACGGCCUGGGAUGGUGGGCGGCCAUGCUACGGCGGAACCACCGAGCCGCCUCCGGGGGGAGGCAGCGGUGAGGAUUAGUGCACGAGGGGCGGCAGGCUGAUGCAGCGCCGCCGCGUGAGAGAUGGACUCCUUCGGGUUGUGAACCUCUUUCGCCAGUGAAGCAGGCUUGCCUCGUUUGUGGGUGGGUUGACGGUAGCUGGAGAAGAAGCGCCGGCUAACUACGUG